GAUGUCUCAGUAGUCAGGAGUGAAUGCUGCUCUUCCGAAGGACCUGUGUUCAGUUCCCAGAACUCGCUUUGAGUGGCUUACAGCUACCUCUAAGUCCAGCUCCAGGAGACCCUCUCUGGCUCUCGUGGGCACCUGCAUACAGGUGGUACAUGUACACACACACACACACACACACACACACACACAUACACUCAGCACACUCACAGUUGUGCAACUCUCUCCAGGACUUUCUCACCUCACAGAACUGAAGUUUGAUGCUCACUAAACAGCUUUCAGUUCCCUCAGCCCCAGGCGACCACCCCCGUUGUAUUGCUUGUUUCUAUGAUGUUGACCUAAGGGGUGUUUGUUUGUUUGUUUGCUUGCUUGCUUGUUUUUUAAGGCCAAACUCUUACCUUUGUCUCUGUCUAUACCAGAGACUGUUUCUCACACAUAGGAAGGAAGAGAAGCCACAGUCAGGAGUGGAGUCGUGGCUCCCUCCCAGCCGUAUGGAGCUGGGAUCUCUGUCAACACAGUGAUACAGUUUUUCCUCCACAUGGACAGAGGCCUGGGGGUUGGCUGCUCUUAUUGUAAAAGGAACCAGGGGCGAUGCUCACUAGCCUCAGGAUAUAUAUAGACCCUCUUCUGAGCUCAGGGUGGAGCUGUGGAUAGAAGCCAGGCUUCCCAUAAGCCAGGCUUCCAUAGUCAAGGUGGACAUUAAAAGAUAUUAAAGCCGGCUCCUGUUUUGUUUGUGCCCUCACUGUAGCUCAGGGUCUGUUGCACGAUUUGUUUAUUUAGUUAGUUACUUAGGCCCUUAAGGGUUUCAGGUAUCCCAGCCUAACCUUGAAGUGAUCUUCCGGCCUCCACUUCUGGCGUUGAUUCUAGGCAUGUACUGCCAUGCCUGCCUUUGUUCAAUUUGCUCAUUUAAUUGCAUGAUUUGUAUAGACACUCAUUCUAGGACUCAGAGGAAGCUGUGUUUCAAAGCCCAGCCCUACUGUGAGAGGCACCCCUGUGAGCCUACUGUGAGAGGCAGCCCUGUGGUCUCUGGCUCCUCCCUUUCUCACCCCCUCCCCUUCCCCCACUCCUUCCCUCCUUGUGUACCCAGCAGUCUCUGUUUGUUCCGCAGGGUAGGGCCUCCUCAGCUCCUUCUGCAUGGACCCUGGACAAAGUCCAGUCCAACCAAGUCCUUUCCUACGCCAGCUCGAAGCUCAGAGGUCAGAGGUCAGGUUUUGGAAGAGGCUUUUCCUAAGCCACUGUGUGACUUUCGCUUUCACCCAUGGCAACCAGGUUGCGGAUUAACCGGAUUAACCAGGGACGGAGAGCUCACGAGUACCCUGGACCGUGGAGGCUCGCUCCACUGCCUUUCCAGGGACACUGAAAGAACAGGUCCCUGACGGUGAUGCCGGCUUUCAGGCUCUUGGCGCACGUUUUCACUGCGUGUUUUCCUCAGUUGGCAUUUUAUAAAGUUGACUGAAGACAGAGCUCGCAUAGCCCAGACUGGCUUUGAACUCCCUUACCUAGUCAAGGAUAACCUGUUCUCACCUCUACCUCUGGAGAACUAGGACUACAGGCAUGUGCCACCACAGUUGAUUUCAGGCUCUGCUGGGGAACUGUCUCAGAGCUUCAUAUAUAUUAGCUAUGCAUACUACAAACCGAGCUACACCCCCAGCCUGCAUUACAAGAUUCUUUAUGAACACCUUCUGGGGAACCUUAAGGAGAUAGACGCUCACCAAGCCUCUCUACUGAGUGUUCGUGCUGGGGAUGCUUCAGGUGUGCUGUUGGCACAAGAACAGAGAAAGCAUGAAGCAAAGAGAAAUCCACAGCGAAGUCUACACGAAGGGUCACUGUCUUAAGUGGGUCUACUCAGAAACUGCUGCUGGGUCCCAAAGACGUCAUAUCACCUCUCCCAUGUCAUUCUCUAACAAACCACAAGAAAACCCGCCCUUGAUGACCACGGGGGAGCCUUUCCUUGUAAUGAGUCUACCUACCACACAGCCAGCUGCUGGGCUGUCUCAGCCUAAGCUCCAGGGGAAGGAAAAGCCAAGGAAAAAGAGGGGAAGGGGAGAUGCGUUUUCUGUUUUGUUUUGUGCCUCAAACAGUCCACCAAGUGUAUUUUGUACCAAGGUAGGUUCCAAUGGGCUUCCCGCAGCACGCUUGUUAUGGAAGGUGAAUUUGUUUGCUCAGCGAGUCGAGGUCGGCAGGCAGCCAAGAUUCACAAGUUCAGAAUUUACCUUCUGUAAGCUGAGACUUCAGCCGGUGGCACAAAAUUACCCAGAUGACCUAAGACACACGCUUGACUCUGUGUUCAUCACUUAGCUUAUUAGGAAGUUUUUGAAUUCUUUUCUGGAAGUAAUCCUUAACUCUGAAAUGCUCUCCUUGUGAAUUAGAACACAGAGAGAAUUACCAGAUGCCUGUGUGCGUGGGAGAGCGAAGCCCAGUGCCUAAGGGAACAGCAGUUACCCUAAGACCCUGGAGCUCAUCACACGCUCCACGUGGACACCCAGAGGACACCCUUACCCUGGGCUGGCUGCUAAUCACUCCCUAGAAUUUCUUUGAAUUAUGGACUUUCGUGUGACUCUCUAGAAAACAUUGAACUUGGAGAAGCUGAGUGGGAGACGCACGCCUGUCUUGCUAAGGAAUGGCUGGUGGACCCCACGCAGUGCGAGGUACCAGCAGAACUGCGGAGCAGAGUGCGCCAAGUUUCAAGUCCUCUGGCAUUUGAGCCUCUCCAAGGGCUCAGAUUACAGGGUGUGCCGUUUUUUUUUUUCCCCCAGGAAAAAGUAAGUUAAAGGACAAUAAAUAAAUAAAUAAAUAAAUAAAUAACCCAC